rnacentral:lncRNA from 1 species
GAAACCCGGUGGCAUAUUCGACCACCACGUCCAGACAGCUGUGUGUGACUCGCGGGCCAAAUACAGGGAGGGCCGACGCCCUCGCGCGGUCAAGGAUAGCUAAGAAAAAGAUGGAUGAACAGAGUUUCUUUGGAGGGUUACUUCAUGUGUGCUAUGCUCCAGAAUUUGAGACAGUUGAAGAAACUAGAAAAAAAUUAGAAGAAAGAAAGGCUUAUAUUUCAAGAGUUACUAAAAACCAAGACUAUUAUGUGACCAAGAAGAAACCAGUUCCAGAGCAAAAAGGAACAAAAGAUUCUAGACAAGACUUCCAUGCACAUAUGCCUGGAUUUUGUACACCUGCUUUAAACACAUCUCCCAAGAAUCCUUCAGAGAACUCAAGUCCUUGUCUUCCUUACUCUUGUGAAUUCCCUUUAUGCUAUUUUGCCUCCAAAAGCCCAUGUUCACCUGGGGAGCACACGGACAAAGCGUCAGACUCCUGCAAUAGUGCUAGGAACCGUGGUGAACUGCAGAAGCACCGUGACCACAGUGCCUUUCCCCCAAAACUACAGAUGAACACUUACAAAACUUCCGUCCCUUGCUCUAGUGUGCAAGAGGCCAUUGCUACUUCACAGGCAGUUGGCAGAUUUAUGCCUAGGACAACACAGCUGCAGGAGAGGAAAAGACGGCGAGACUGUGAUCGUGAACUUGGAACUUUUCUUGAAACAAACAUAAGCAGUAACGAGGUUUUGAUUGGACCUAAGUUACCAGGUAUUCCCACAGUAGAUCUGCAGGAUGACUCCUUGAAUACAACGGCAAACUUAAUUCG